AGGGACAAGGCAAGGGACAGGGACAAAGCCAGGGAAGCGGACAGGGUCAAGGCCAGGGAAGCGGACAGGGUCAAGGCCAGGGAAGGGGACAGGGUCAGGGACAGGGAAGCGGAAGAGGUCAGGGAGGAAGUUAAAAGAAUAGUCAGGGAUGUGGUCAUUGAAGUGGACAUGGGACUUUUGCUUAACGCUUACUGGAGAUCUUUUCAAUUCAGUGUUAAUCCUAUGGCAUGGUUUUCCUGUUUUCUCAAACUGUGUUUUGAAAACUUUUCGGUCUGCUCCACCUCAAAUAAAGAAUUGCUUGAUUUGAA